ensembl:lncRNA
GGUUAACUGAGCUGUCUGCUUUGUUAUAAACAGCUAAACAUUAGGUUAACUGAGCUGUCUGCUCGGUUAUAAACAUUAGGUUAACUGAGCUGUCUGCUUUGUUAUAAACAGCUAAACAUUAGAUUAACUGAGCUGUCUACUGGGUCAUAAACAGCUAAACAUUAGGUUAACUGAGCUGUCUACUGGGUCAUAAACAGCUAAACAUUAGGUUAACUGAGCUGUCUACUGGGUCAUAAACAGCUAAACAUUAGGUUAACUGAGCUGUCUACUGGGUCAUAAACAGCUAAACAUUAGGUUAACCGUACAAAGACAUACUGCUACUUGGUGAAUUCAUUUUUUUUUUAUAGUUAAACAUUUUAAAAAGUUAUCAGUUUUAGAUAAAACUAUACAAAAUAUAUUCAUGUCACCAAAUAAUUUAUUAAAACACACUGUUUUGUAAUGAAGGUCUACAUUAGCCUCAACAGCACUCUGUAGGGUAGCACCAUGCUGUAGCCGGAGGACAGCUAGCUUCUGUCCUCCUCUAUGUAGAUUGACUUUAAUACAAAACCUAGGAGGCUCGUGGUUCUCACCCCCUUCCAUAGACCUACAAAGUAAAUAUGACAACUUCCGAAGGACGCCCUCCAACCUAUCAGAGCUCUUGCGGAUUGAACUGACAUGUUGUCCGCCCAAUCAAAGGAUCAGAGAAUGAAUAUAUUACUGAAAGCAUAAGCUACAGCUAGCUAGCACUGCAGGAAAUAUAAUGUGUUGAGUAAUUGACUCAAAGAUAGAGAAAGACAAUAGUUGAACAGUUUAAUUUCUUCAAAAAUGAUGGAGAAGCAAGAGAGAGAGAGAGUUAGCUAUAUUUGAUUGUAUUUUUUAAAACUUUCACUUUCAUUUAGCUAGCAAAUGCAGCUAGCUAGUUUAGCCUACUCCAACACUCGGCUAAAACAGAGGGGGAUGUUAUGUUAGCUAGCUGGCUAUGGCUACCCAACAGAGGGGGAUGUUAUGUUAGCUAGCUGACUAUGGCUACCCAACAGAGGGGGAUGUUAUGUUAGCUAGCUGGCUGGCUAUGGCUACCCAACAGAGGGGGAUGUUAUGUUAGCUAGCUGGCUAUGGCUACCCAACAGAGGGGGAUGUUAUGUUAGCUAGCUGGCUGGCUAUGGCUACCCAACAGAGGGGGAUGUUAUGUUAGCUAGCUGGCUAUGGCUACCCAACAGAGGGGGAUGUUAUGUUAGCUAGCUGGCUAAGGCUAUCCAACACUGGAACACUUCCAAGUCAAGGUAAGCUUUUGGUUUUAUUCAUUUAUUGCCACCAGGGCCCUAUGGUGUAUCUGCUAAACUGCUUUCUGACUGUACACUGUACUGCAUGAUUGUAGUGGAUUUACUAACACGUUAGUUCUAGUGGCUAUGUUGACAAUAAUCACAUUUUAUUAGUCACAUACACAUUAUUAGCAUAUAUUCUAGAGAAAAUGUGUGGGCAGAACUGAAAAAGAGUGUGCGAGCAAGGAGGCCUACAAACCUGACUCAGCUACACCAGCUCUGCCAGGAGGAAUUGACCAAAAUUCACCCAACUUAUAGUGGGAAACUUGUGGAAGGCUACCCAAAACGUUUGACCCAAGUUAAACAAUUUAAAGGCAAUGCUACCAAAUACUAAUUGAGUUUAUGUAAACUUUUGACCCACUGGGAAUGUGAUGAAAGAAAUAAAAGCUGAAAUAAAUCACUCUACUAUUAUUCUGACAUUUCACAUUCUUAAAAUAAAGUUGUGAUCCUAACUCACCUAAGACAGGGAAUUUUUACUAGGAUUAAAUGUCAGGAAUUGUGAAAAACUGAGUUUAAAUGUAUUUGGCUAAGGUGUGUGUAAACUUCCAACUUGUGCGUGCCAACAACUGUAUCCCAGUCCGCGAUCAAAACAAUCUUGAAGCAUGGAUUCUGAUUGGCCAGACCAGCAUUGAACAGACGGUUAUUUCCUGUUUGAGUUUCUGCCUAUAGGAAGGGAGCAAAAUGGAGGUGUGAUCUGAUUUGCCAAAGGAAUGACGGUGGAGGGCCUUGUAUGCAUCCCGGAAGGGGGAGUAGCAGUGGUCGACCGUUCCGUUUUAGCAGCGUGUGUACUACAAUCAAUGUGUUGGUAGAACUUUGGUAGCGUUUUCCUCAAACUUGCUUUGUUAAAAUCCCCAGUUAUAAUAAAUGCAGUCUCGGGAUAUGUGGUUUCCAGUUUGCACAGUAUAGUUCCUUGGGGGCUGUUGUGGUAUCAGCUUGAGGGGGAACAUACACGGCCGUGACUGUAAACAAAGAGAAUUCUCUUAGGAGGUAAUACGGUCGGCAUUUGAUUGUGAGGUAUUCUAAGUCGGGUGAACAAAAGCAGUAGGGUAAAGUACUUAAGUAAAAAAUACUUUUUAAAGUACUACUUAAUUUGUUUUUUGGAGUAUCUGUAUUUAACUUUACUAUUUAUAUUUUUUACUACUUUUACUUUUACUCCACUACAUUCCUAAAGAAAAUAUUGUACUUUUUACUUAAUGUUUUCCCUGACACCCAAAAAUAUUUAUUACAUUUUGAAUGGUUAGCAGGACAGAAAAAUUGUCUAAUUCACACAAGAGAACAUCCCUGGUAAUCCCUACUGCCUCUGAUCUGGUGGACUCACCAAGUGUUGGAGCAUGCCCCUGGCUUUCUGUAAAUAAAAGAAAAAAUAAAAUUUUGCCACCUGGUUUGCUUCAUAUAAGCAAUUUGAAAAGAUGAAUACUUUACCUUUAACUUUU